AUUGAACGCUGGCGGCAGGCCUAACACAUGCAAGUCGAGCGGAUGAGGGUAGCUUGCUAUCUGAUUCAGCGGCGGACGGGUGAGUAAUGCCUAGGAAUCUGCCUGGUAGUGGGGGACAACGUUUCGAAAGGAACGCUAAUACCGCAUACGUCCUACGGGAGAAAGUGGGGGAUCUUCGGACCUCACGCUAUCAGAUGAGCCUAGGUACGAUUAGCUAGUUGGUGAGGUAAAGGCUCACCAAGGCGACGAUCGUUAACUGGUCUGAGAGGAUGAUCAGUCACACUGGAACUGAGACACGGUCCAGACUCCUACGGGAGGCAGCAGUGGGGAAUAUUGGACAAUGGGCGAAAGCCUGAUCCAGCCAUGCCGCGUGUGUGAAGAAGGUCUUCGGAUCGUAAAGCACUUUAAGUUGGGAGGAAGGGCAGUAAGUUAAUACCUUGCUGUUUUGACGUUACCAACAGAAUAAGCACCGGCUAACUUCGUGCCAGCCGCCGCGGUAACAC
rnacentral:rRNA from 1 species